rnacentral:rRNA from 1 species
AUUGAACGCUGGCGGCAGGCCUAACACAUGCAAGUCGAGCGAGCGGCGGACGGGUGAGUAAUAUAUGGGUACUUGCCGAUAGAGGGAGGUCACUACUGGAAACGGUAGCUAAUAACGCAUCCUAUCGGAUAACCUAUAUGGGAUUAGCUAGUAGGUGAGGUAAGGGCCCACCUAGGCGACGAUCCCUAGCUGGUCUGAGAGGAUGAUCAGCAACACGUGGACUGAGACACGGCCCAGACUCCGACGGAGGCAGCAGUGGGGAAUAUUGCACAAGGGGCGCAAGCCUGAUUCAGCCAUGCCGCGUGUAUGAAGAAGGCCCUAGGGUUGUAAAGUACUUUCAGUCGGGAGGCGUUACCGACAGAAGAAGCACCGGCUAACUCCGUGCCAGCAGCCGCGGUAAUAC